CCCUUAGAUGUUCUGGGCCGCACGCGCGCUACACUGUUUGAUUCAGCGAGUCUUAACCUUGACCGAAAGGUUUGGGUAAUCUUCUAAAGUCAAACGUGAUGGGGAUCGAUCAUUGCAAUUAUUGAUCGUGAACGAGGAAUUCCUAGUAAAUGCAAGUCAUCAGCUUGCGUUGAUUACGUCCCUGCCCUUUGUACACACCGCCCGUCGCUACUACCGAUUGAAUGGUUUAGUGAGAUCUCCGGAUUGGCUCUGUAGGUCCCGCAAGGGAUUUAUUAGUAGCCAAGAGGCUGCUCAAACUUGAUCAUUUAGAGGAAGUAAAAGUCGUAACA
rnacentral:rRNA from 1 species